GUUCCCUUCGGGGACAAAGUGACAGGUGGUGCAUGGUUGUCGUCAGCUCGUGUCGUGAGAUGUUGGGUUAAGUCCCGCAACGAGCGCAACCCUUAUUACUAGUUGCCAGCAUUGAGUUGGGCACUCUAGUGAGACUGCCGGUGACAAACCGGAGGAAGGUGGGGAUGACGUCAAAUCAUCAUGCCCCUUAUGACUUGGGCUACACACGUGCUACAAUGG
rnacentral:rRNA from 1 species